GCUUAGCCCUAAAUCUAAAUAAUUUAGUAACAAAAUUAUUUGCCAGAGAACUACUAGCCACCGCUUAAAACUCAAAGGACUUGGCGGUACUUUAUAUCCCCCUAGAGGAGCCUGUUCUAUAAUCGAUAAACCCCGCUACACCUCACCAUCUCUUGCUAAUUCAGCCUAUAUACCGCCAUCUUCAGCAAACCCUAAAAAGGUAGCAAAGUAAGCACAAAAAUAAACAUAAAAACGUUAGGUCAAGGUGUAGCCAAUGAGAUGGGAAGAAAUGGGCUACAUUUUCUUUUAAAAGAAUAUUACGGAAUCCUUUAUGAAAUUAAAGGAUAAAGGCGGAUUUAGUAGUAAAUUAAGAAUAGAGAGCUUAAUUG
rnacentral:rRNA from 1 species